rnacentral:tRNA from 1 species
GGAGAGGUGCGAGAGUGGCUGAAUCGGGCGGUCUCGAAAACCGUUGUACUCUAACGGGUACCGUGGGUUCGAAUCCCACCCUCUCCGCCA